CAAGGUUUAUACAAUAGGCGCUAACUCCAUAGUCACCAAGGUUUAUCUAACAAUAGGCGCUAACUCCAUAGUCACCAAGGUUUAUCUAACAGCAGGCGCUAACUCCAUAGUCACCAACUAUCCCAUCUACCCUUGUUCUACCCAACAAUUUUGUAGAUAUAAAUACUUACACAGUUUAAAUCAUUUAACACCUGUAUAAAACUCCAAUUUCCAUGUCCAUCUCAAAUAGACAAAUAACAUAUAAACACAUAGCACGUAUUUCAUAACAAAUACUUCAUAUUGAUGUGUUAGAAGAAAGCAACUACACACCCACACAUAUAAACAACAAUAUACUUAAUACACUCAAACCAUACUUGUAUUAUUAUCGUGUUUAUGAAAGGUAGUAUACACUCACUUGAUCAGAAGAUGAUCGGACAGCACUACGACUUGCAGAAGUAGUAAUCCACAGCAGAUCUGGAAGAUCUCCACAAAAAUCGAACUUCUCGCGGGCAGAGCUUCGGCUCGGGAACCGCACUUCUCGGGAUCUUCGGGAUCUCGGGACUUGCCUCGGGGCUAGAGAAUAAUACCGGGGCUUCGGGGUAUUUCUGGCACGCAAAACGAUGCAAAACGGGAGAGAGAAGAGAAGAAAUUGGCAAUUGGGUCGGCUGCCCUCGCAUCCUAUUUAUAGGAGGCUGGAGCCUCGGAGUACGCGGGGCGUACUGGUCCGAAAAACGUCACUGCGUGCAUCAUCCGAAGCCACUUGCUGCGAAUGUUGACACUUCGUAGUACGCGGGGCGUACUCGAGUACGCGGCGCGUACCUCGGAUCAGACCGGUGACUCCUUCGGAUAAUGCUUCCGAAUUUCCUUUUAAAUUUAAAUACAAAUUGAUUAAUAAACUUCGGAAAUUCAUAUCUUCUUCAUACGAACUCCGUUUUCGACGUUCUUUAUAUCCACGCGAAGGUGAGACUACGCUCUACAACUUUCGUUUAGACUCCGUCGGCUAAUUUUGACUUUUAUUUUUAUUAUUUAUUUUUAAUAGGCCGCGACAGAAAACUUCGUUAUAAAUUCAUAACUUCUUCGUUUGACGUCCGUUCUCGCCUAACUUUUUAUCGCUUCGAUACCAACAACGAGAUCUUCGAUUCUCGUUUAGAUUGCUAAGGCUAAAUAUCGCUCUAACGUAAAUUCACUUUUUACGUCGCGCUGUGUCGUGCCGGUUCUGUCGCGAAACUUCGACAGGUCAUAACUUCUUCGUUAUAACUCGGAUUUUGGCGUUCUUUAUAUGUACGGAAACCUUGUAACAUAUACUACAACUUAGUUAGGAUUAUUCAUCCUAAAUAAUCUUCUAUCAAAAAGUCAUUUUUGACUCUUAUUGUCUCUAAAUUGACUAGCCCUGAUCUACGGGCGUUACACUUAUCUCCCCCUUAGGAUGAUUACGUCCCGGAAUCAUCAACGAAAUAGGAUUCGCAUACUGACUCCAUAAGUUAUCUCUCCAUUCUAAGUAAUAACCCUGAUGGGUCGUGUCCCGAUGACCUCUCAUCAUAGUCGGACUCAAUUGAUAUGACCCCUAGGGUCGGAAUAACAACUAUCUUACUAGACAUUACCGAAACAAUGGUAAUGACAUACUUGAAUAAAACGGAAUCAAUUACUAGCUUCUUGAUAACCUUGUGACUUCCCCUGAUCCAAGCGUGAGUCCUGUGCUUCCGGUAGUAUAGAUCUCUACUACCAUUCACACCUACUCAUACUCGUCCCAAGUAUUGUCUCGCAGUUAACCAAGUCACCAUACAUAAAUCAUAUAAUCAUUCAACACAUCAGAUAACAAAACUAGGAUUUAUAUUAAUUCUUGAAACUAUUACACAAAAGUUCAAGUUCACCCUAUACUAUGCCUCUAACAGGCUAUGCUUCCUGAUACAGACUUUACCGACUUUAUAUAUUAAUAUGAAGUCUUCAUCCUUUAACCCUCCCAUCCCUUUCUGCUUCGUUGAGGAACAUGUUGAAUGCCCUUGGCUGUGGAGGUGUGUUUUUCUGUGGGCAGUCUUUAGAAAUAUGACCUUCUUCAUUACACCUAUAGCACAUCUUCUUGUUAGGUGCGCACUUGUUGGCAUAGUGCCCUGUCUUCCCACAUUUGUAGCAAGUCAUCUCCUCGCUACAUUUCCCGAAGUGUUUCUUCUUACACUUCUCACACCACUUAGCCUCAUCUCUUCCUCCAGUUUUCGAGAAUUUACUUUCUUUAUCGAUUAUUGAAGAUCCUUCACGCUUCCUUUUCUCUCCAACUUCAGCCCUUUCCAGACCCUUUUCUUUUAUUUGGGUCUCAACAUUUUUGGCUGCCCAGAUGGCGGCUUUCAGAGUGGUUGCUUGUUUGACUAUCGGACCAAAGUCCGCUGGUAAUCCAUUAGCAAACUUGUUGACCUUGGAAAGUUCAGUCGGAAUUAGGUAUGGAAUAAGCUUCAUCUUCUCCGUAAAGCUCGUAGCGUAUUCAGUAACGCUCAAUUUUCCUUUCUUCAGAUUCUGGAACUCAUUGUUGAUUUCCAGAAGAUCCUGCUCAGAGCAGUAUUGCAUUUUCAUUUGCUCCACGAACUCUUCCCAAGACAUCUUGCUAGCUUCCCCCUUGGGCAUUGAACCAGCCAGUAACUUCCACCAGCUCAAUACUCCAGAUUUUAACAGAGGGAUUGCAAGAGCGGUCUUCUGUCUGUUGCUACACUCGCAACUUUCAAACAUUGUCUCCAUUUCGGAGAUCCAGUCCAUGACUUGCACCGGUGUCGGGCUCCCAGAAAGACAUGGUGGUUUGGAUGCCAUGAAAUCCUUGUACUUGCAUCCACGUCCAUCAUUUCCUCUAUCCUGGUUGUUUUGGCGAACUAUUGGUGGGUUGGCUUGACCAACGGUCCCACUAUAGUUUCCUCCUUCAGAAUGCCCUCCAUUUACUUCGGGCUCUUCUACUCGAAUUGACAAUUCCUCGCGAUUUUGUCUGAUCAGACGUCUAGUUUCUUCCAUCUGAUUAUUCAACAUUGCCUGGAUCAUCACUUGAACUCCGGCCAUUGUCAUUGGUUCAGGCGCUGCUGCCACAACAGGUAUUUGUUCAAUUACUGGUACUUGAUUCCUGUUCUCAUCAGCAUUUCCAACUCCACUCCUCGUUCUCACCAUUUUUGAUCUAUACACCGAAUAUGGUGAAAUUAGAUCCUUAAUCACGAUAGAUAUUCAAAUCAUCCUUAUCACUCCGAAACGUUUAUAUGCUAGUUCUAAUAUCGUAGACGUACGCUUAGAAUCCUAUACACAUAAGGUUUCCAGAUCCGGUCGGCAACAGACCAUAGAUCCGAACAAAUAAUAGCAUCAAUAUAGCUAUCACACAAAACGUUUAGCACGCAAAAGCAUUUUAGGCAACUUUCCUAAAAUAAAAUAGUGCCUGUGUCAAUUUAGGUGUACUACCUAAAAUAUAAUGGACACACUCAACUCGCAAUCAUUGCUUAGCAUUCUAAGUUUAAGUCUAGAAAUCCUACAAAUUCCUAGUUCGCUUAAACUAAUGCUCUGAUACCAACUGUGACAUCCCCAAUUUCACGGCCAGAAAAGACCGAUUUGUUUAUGCUUUGUUUUCAAAAUCAGAGUGAUCGUUUAAAGAAAACGGUUGCGGAAUUUGUUCCCAAAAUAAAAUAUGAUAACCAUUUUAUCAAAACAUUUCUCGAAAAGAAUGUAUUUUUAUUAAAUAAUAAAACCUCGGGAUGUCAUGUUCGUUACAGACCAAAAGCAUAAACAACAUAAAAUAGACCUUACAAUAGUUAUUCAACUACUGAUCUAUAAUCCAAAAUCUCUCGUCAAGUCCGCCGACUUAUACUCUUGUGUCAUUACCUGUAAUGAAAAGAAAACUGAGUGGGUCAGGCUUGGGAGCCUGGUGAGCAUAUAGGGUUUUCAACCCACAAUAAUACAUUUAUUAUAUUCAAUUAUCAAACAAUCAACUCAAAUACCCAUCCCCAUCAUCUUCUUAAGGUUUCCCCCUAAGAACCAACUAUCCUUCAUUCACUUAUUCCUAAGGAAUCGGCACGAAAUCCAUUGCUGCCAAAGUUUAUCUAUCGAGUACUAAAUCCAUAGUUAUAAGACGCUAACUCCAUAGUCGUCGGGGUUUACUCAAGAGGCGCUAACUCCAUAGUCACCAAGGUUUAUCUAACAGCAGGCGCUAACUCCAUAGUCACCAACUAUCCCAUCUACCCUUGUUCUACCCAACAAUUUUGUAGAUAUAAAUACUUACACAGUUUAAAUCAUUUAACACCUGUAUAAAACUCCAAUUUCCAUGUCCAUCUCAAAUAGACAAAUAACAUAUAAACACAUAGCACGUAUUUCAUAACAAAUACUUCAUAUUGAUGUGUUAGAAGAAAGCAACUACACACCCACACAUAUAAACAACAAUAUACUUAAUACACUCAAACCAUACUUGUAUUAUUAUCGUGUUUAUGAAAGGUAGUAUACACUCACUUGAUCAGAAGAUGAUCGGACAGCACUACGACUUGCAGAAGUAGUAAUCCACCGCAGAUCUGGAAGAUCUCCACAAAAAUCGAACUUCUCGCGGGCAGAGCUUCGGCUCGGGAACCGCACUUCUCGGGAUCUUCGGGAUCUCGGGACUUGCCUCGGGGCUAGAGAAUAAUACCGGGGCGUCGGGGUAUUUCUGGCACGCAAAACGAUGCAAAACGGGAGAGAGAAGAGAAGAAAUUGGCAAUUGGGUCGGCUGCCUUCGCAUCCUAUUUAUAGGAGGCUGGAGCCUCGGAGUACGCGGGGCGUACUGGUCCGAAAAACGUCACUGCAUGCAUCAUCCGAAGCCACUUGCUGCGAAUGUCGACACUUCGGAGUACGCGGUGCGUACCUCGGAUCAGACCGGUGACUCCUUCGGAUAAUGCUUCCGAAUUUCCUUUUAAAUUUAAAUACAAAUUGAUUAAUAAACUUCGGAAAUUCAUAUCUUCUUCAUACGAACUCCGUUUUCGACGUUCUUUAUAUCCACGCGAAGGUGAGACUACGCUCUACAACUUUCGUUUAGACUCCGUCGGCUAAUUUUGACUUUUAUUUUUAUUAUUUAUUUUUAAUAGGCCGCGACAGAAAACUUCGUUAUAAAUUCAUAACUUCUUCGUUUGACGUCCGUUCUCGCCUAACUUUUUAUUGUUUCGAUACCAACAACGAGAUCUUCGAUUCUCGUUUAGAUUGCUAAGGCUAAAUAUCGCUCUAACGUAAAUUCACUUUUUACGUUGUAUUGCGUCGUGCCGGUUCUGUCGUGAAACUUCGACAGGUCAUAACUUCUUCGUUAUAACUCGGAUUUUGGCGUUCUUUAUAUGCACAGAAACCUUGUAACAUAUACUACAACUUAGUUAGGAUUAUUCAUCCUAAAUAAUCUUCUAUCAAAAAGUUAUUUUUGACUCUUAUUGUCUCUAAAUUGACUAGCCCUGAUCUACGGGCGUUACAUCAUAUGGCCUGGCAAGCCAUCGAAAAGACCUUCCAGGCACACACUAGGGCACGGAGAAUGGCAAUGCGGGUUCAAUUGCAAUCUCUUGUCAAAGGCUCUCUGUCCGUGAUGGACUAUCUUCAGCAGAAACGAUCCAUAGCUGAUUCCCUUGCAGAAAAUCUCUAUCCAAUAUCUGAAGAGGACCUUGUUGGUCACAUCUUGUCUGGCCUCGACUCCUCUUAUGGGCCAUUCUACACUACUGUCAUGCUGCGAUCUGAUCCUCUCUCAGUUGAUGAACUUGUUGG
rnacentral:lncRNA from 1 species